CCUACGGGGGGCAGCAGUCGAGAAUCAUUCACAAUGGGGGAAACCCUGAUGGUGCGACGCCGCGUGGGGGAAUGAAGGUCUUCGGAUUGUAAACCCCUGUCAUGUGGGAGCAAAUUAAAAAGAUAGUACCACAAGAGGAAGAGACGGCUAACUCUGUGCCAGCAGCCGCGGUAAUACAGAGGUCUCAAGCGUUGUUCGGAAUCACUGGGCGUAAAGCGUGCGUAGGCUGUUUCGUAAGUCGUGUGUGAAAGUCGCGGGCUCAACCCGCGGACUGCACAUGAUACUGAGAGACUAGAGUAGUGGAGGGGUAAGCGGAAUUCGUGGUGUAGCAGUGAAAUGCGUAGAUAUCGAGAGGAACACUCGUGGCGAAGGCGGGUUCCUGGACAUUAACUGACGCUGAGGCACGAAGGCCAGGGGAGCGAAAGGGAUUAGAUACCCCUGUAGUC
rnacentral:rRNA from 1 species